rnacentral:rRNA from 1 species
UGGGGAAUAUUGGACAAUGGGCGCAAGCCUGAUCCAGCAAUACCGCGUGUGUGAUGAAGGCCUUCGGGUUGUAAAGCACUUUCAGUAGAGAAGAAAGGCUCAAGGUUAAUACCCUUGAGAGUUGACGUAACCUACAGAAGAAGCACCGGCUAACUCUGUGCCAGCAGCCGCGGUAAUACAGAGGGUGCAAGCGUUAAUCGGAAUUACUGGGCGUAAAGAGCGCGUAGGUGGAUGUUUAAGUCGGAUGUGAAAGCCCCGGGCUCAACCUGGGAACUGCAUUCGAUACUGGGCAUCUUGAGUAUGGUAGAGGGAAGUGGAAUUUCCGGAGUAGCGGUGAAAUGCGUAGAUAUCGGAAGGAACACCAGUGGCGAAGGCGACUUCCUGGACCAAUACUGACACUGAGGCGCGAAAGCGUGGGGAGCAAACAGGAUUAGAUACCCCCGUAGUCC